AGCUUUCUAUCUCUCUCUCAGCGGACUCUGCUAUCGGUAAGCCUCUGAACUCAACUCUGUAAAUGGGAAAUCCCAACAGUGACACAAAGUUCGAAACUCAAUAGAUAACCGGUCUGGCCGUUUUUCUGGUAUGAAUGCCAAUUGAUUUCUUGAACAGAAUCUAGGUUGAAUUUUCUAGCUUUUUUGAUUCUGAUAUGCUUUUGUAUUUGAAAAAAAAGUACCAAACAGUCUCGAUUAUUUUUGCCCUUGUCUCAAUUCUGAUUGAUUAGCUUCUUCCUUCACGCAAACUAUGGUCUAACGACACCUUUGUUGUGUUGCAUUUUGUGAGUAACAAACACUUUUACAUUAGGGACAGAGUGAAAAAGUCGUGUAUUACAAAGUGGUGAAUUUUCCCUGGUUAUCUACCUUUGUGAAAAAAAGUUAAUCUCAUGUCUGUAUGUUUACAACUCUCUAUUGAAUUAAUAUCCACCUCCUUUCUCUAACUCUAAACCAUAUAUGCUUUACAAUGUUAUAUUAAUUUUCUCUUUUUUGGAAGUUCACAUAUAUAGAAAAGAAUUAAAAGCUGCCAAUGAUAAUGCAUUUACCACCCAAUUCUCAAUUUACAGGGUUCCAUCAUGCCCACUGAUAAGAGGAGUGGAGAGAGCUCUGUUGUAGAUAGGAUUAGCAGUUUGCCUUGUGAUCUUCUUGAGAAGAUAUUAGGAUGCUUUGCUUUUGAAUAAUGCCGUAUGGACAAGUGUUUUGUCAAGAAAAUGGAGGUAUAAAGUACUUUCCGAACUAGUGUUUGAUGAUAACGUUGGCAAAGGACUCCUCCUGAAAACUUGAAUGGAAUUUUUGAAGCAUGUAUUGUCAUUGCAACUGCAUUUGAGAAAAUAGGUGUUGUGACGAGUGCAGAUUUCAGUCAUAGGGGAAUGAAAAUGAUUGACGAGAUGAAGCAAUUCCCAAUGUAAGAAUUUAUAUACCAAGAAGUUGAUAUUCAUUUUUGAAAUUUCUUGGUAAACGGCUCACCAUUGAGAUUCUUCGAUCUUUUUAGUUUCUUUGUGUGCUUUGUUUGAUCUCUUCAGAAAGGAAAAUAAUUUAUUUUUCUUAUGGAUGUUUUCAGAAUUGAGUUUCUCAAUAAAAAAACAAAGUGUUUUGAAAUUUGUAGUCUU
rnacentral:lncRNA from 1 species